rnacentral:rRNA from 1 species
ACUACAUGAAGCUGGAAUCGCUAGUAAUCGCAGAUCAGAAUGCUGCGGUGAAUACGUUCCCGGGUCUUGUACACACCGCCCGUCACACCAUGGGAGUCGGAAAUGCCCGAAGCCGGUGACCCAACCAAAAGGAGGGAGCCGUCGAAGGCAGGUCUGAUAACUGGGGUGAAGUCGUAACAAGGUAGC